UCUUCGAACUCGUCAAACGCCAUGGAAACAAGAGGACAAGCUGUAGGGAAGAGAACAAAGACAAAUCUAUACAAAGACACAACGAAGAGUAGAAACGAACGUUGUCGGGAGGAGAGAGAAAAAUUGAAGGAAAAAUCGUGAGAAGAAGGGUGAGGAAGAUGAAGUCUGUGGCUUGGUUCGGCUCGACUCCGCAGCUCAGAACUCAGUCCCUCAGCUUGAUAAAGGAAAAAUAAACCAUUUUUCAUAGUUUCGACCAUCCCGAAGUUGAAGUUGACCUUGUUUAAGGAAAUUAAGGUCAGUAUAAGG